rnacentral:misc_RNA from 1 species
GAUGAAGAACGUAGCGAAAUGCGAUACUUGGUGUGAAUUGCAGAAUCCCGUGAACCAUCGAGUCUUUGAACGCAAGUUGCGCCCGAAGCCAUUAGGCCGAGGGCACGCCUGCCAGGGCGUCACACGUCGUUGCCCCCCCAUCUACUCCUUCGGGAUUGCGGGGGGCGGAUGAUGGCCUCCCGUGCGCCUCGUCGCGCGGUUGGCAUAAAUGCCAAGUCCUCGGCGACGCACGCCACGACAAUCGGUGGUUGCGAAACCUCGGUUGCCCGUCGUGUGCGGUCGUCGCGCAUCGAGGGCUCGAAAAAAUUGCCGGGCUCCGGCUCGGCUUUCAACGCGACCCCAGGUCAGGCGGGGUUACCCGCUGAAUUUAAGCAUAUCAAUAAGCGGAGGA